GCCCUCAUGAAGUCGGAGUUGCUAGUAAUCGCGGAUCAGCAUGCCGCGGUGAAUACGUUCCCGGGCCUUGUACACACCGCCCGUCACACCAUGGGAGUUGGGAGCACCCGAAGCCGGUGAGGUAACCGAAAGGAGCCAGCCGUCGAAGGUGAGACCAAUGACUGGGGUGAAGUCGUAACAAGGUAAC
rnacentral:rRNA from 1 species